AACUAACGCUGGCGGCAUGCCUAACACAUGCAAGUCGAACGAGACCUUCAGGGCGAGUUUCGCACGGGUGCGUAACGCGUGGGAACCUGCCCUUAGGUUCAGAAGAACUCCCCGAAAGUGGUUCUAAUACCGGAUAAUGUCUUCGAACCAAAGAUUUAUCGCCUUUGGAUGGGCCCGCGUUGGAUUAGCUAGUUGUUAGGGUAAAAGCCUACCAAUGCGACGAUCCAUAGCUGGUCUGAGAGGAUGAUCAGCCACACUGGGACUGAGACACGGCCCAGACUCAUACGGGAGGCAGCAGUGGGGAAUAUUGGACAAUGGGCGAAAGUCUGAUCCAGCAAUGCCGCGUGAGUGAUGAAGGCCUUAGGGUUGUAAAGCUCUUUUACCCGGGAUGAUAAUGACAGUACCGGGAGAAUAAGCUCCGGCUAACUCCGUG
rnacentral:rRNA from 1 species